CACGUAGGGGCCAAGCGUUGUCCGGAUUUAUUGGGCGUAAAGAGCUCGUAGGCGGCUCGGUAAGUCAGGUGUGAAACCUCCAGGCUCAACCUGGAGACGCCACCUGAUACUGCUGUGGCUAGAGUCCGGUAGGGGAGCGUGGAAUUCCUGGUGUAGCGGUGAAAUGCGCAGAUAUCAGGAGGAACACCAGCGGCGAAGGCGGCCCCCUGGACCGGUACUGACGCUGAGGCGCGAAAGCGUGGGUAGCAAACGGG
rnacentral:rRNA from 1 species